UACAGAGGUCUCAAGCGUUGUUCGGAUUCAUUGGGCGUAAAAGGGUGCGUAGGCGGGCGCGGCAAGUCGGGGUGUGAAAAUCUCGGGAGCUUUAACUCCGAAAACUGCAUUCGAUACUGCCGUGCUUGAGGACUGGAGAGGAGACUGGAAUUUACGGUGUAGCGGUGAAAUGCGUAGAUAAUCGUAAGGAAGACCAGUGGCGAAAGGCGGGUCUCUGGACAGGUUCCUGACGCUGAGGCACGAAGGCCAGGGGAGCAAACGGGA
rnacentral:rRNA from 1 species